UAAGGUUAAGUUAAUAAGGGCGCACGGUGGAUGCCUUGGCACUAGAAGCCGAAGAAGGACGUGACUAACGACGAAAUGCUUUGGGGAGCUGUAAGUAAGCGCUGAUCCAGAGAUGUCCGAAUGGGGGAACCCACUAGUUAAUGACUAGUAUCCAUAUCUGUUAAGGAUAUGAGAAGGAAGACGCAGUGAACUGAAACAUCUAAGUAGCUGCAGGAAGAGAAAGCAAAAGCGAUUGCCUUAGUAGCGGCGAGCGAAACGGCAGGAGGGCAAACCGAAGUGUUUACACUUCGGGGUUGUAGGACUGCGAUAUAGGAUUAAUCAUUAUAGAAGAAUUACCUGGGAAGGUAAGCCAAAGAGAGUAACAGCCUCGUAUUUAAAAUGAUAGAUUAACCUUAGCAGUAUCCUGAGUACGGCGAGACACGCGAAAUCUCGUCGGAAUCUGGGAGGACCAUCUCCCAACCCUAAAUACUCUCUAGUGACCGAUAGUGAACCAGUACCGUGAGGGAAAGGUGAAAAGCACCCCGGGAGGGGAGUGAAAUAGAACCUGAAACCGUGUGCCUACAACAAGUUCGAGCCCGUUAAUGGGUGAGAGCGUGCCUUUUGUAGAAUGAACCGGCGAGUUACGAUAUGAUGCGAGGUUAAGUUGAAGAGACGGAGCCGUAGGGAAACCGAGUCUUAAUAGGGCGUCAUAGUAUCAUGUUGUAGACCCGAAACCAUGUGACCUACCCAUGAGCAGGUUGAAGGUGAGGUAAAACUCACUGGAGGACCGAACCAGGGCACGUUGAAAAGUGCUUGGAUGACUUGUGGGUAGCGGAGAAAUUCCAAACGAACUUGGAGAUAGCUGGUUCUCUCCGAAAUAGCUUUAGGGCUAGCGUCGAUGUUAAGUCUCUUGGAGGUAGAGCACUGUUUGGGUGAGGGGUCCAUCCCGGAUUACCAAUCUCAGAUAAACUCCGAAUGCCAACGAGAUAUAAUCGGCAGUCAGACUGCGAGUGCUAAGAUCCGUAGUCGAAAGGGAAACAGCCCAGACCACCAGCUAAGGUCCCAAAAUAUAUGUUAAGUGGAAAAGGAUGUGGGGUUGCACAGACAACUAGGAUGUUAGCUUAGAAGCAGCUAUUCAUUCAAAGAGUGCGUAAUAGCUCACUAGUCGAGUGACCCUGCGCCGAAAAUGUACCGGGGCUAAAACAUAUUACCGAAGCUGUGGAUGACACAAAAGUGUCAUGGUAGGAGAGCGUUCUAUGUGUGAAGAAGGUGUACCGUGAGGAGCGCUGGAACGCAUAGAAGUGAGAAUGCCGGUAUGAGUAGCGCAAGACAGGUGAGAAUCCUGUCCACCGUAAGACUAAGGUUUCCAGGGGAAGGCUCGUCCGCCCUGGGUUAGUCGGGACCUAAGGAGAGACCGAAAGGUGUAUCCGAUGGACAACAGGUUGAUAUUCCUGUACUAGAGUAUAUAGUGAUGGAGGGACGCAGUAGGCUAACUAAACCAGACGAUUGGAAGUGUCUGGUCAAACAGUGAGGUGUGAUAUGAGUCAAAUGCUUAUAUCUUUAACAUUGAGCUGUGACGAGGAGCGAAGUUUAGUAGCGAAGUUAGUGAUGUCACACUGCCAAGAAAAGCUUCUAGCGAUACAUAUACUCUACCCGUACCGCAAACCGACACAGGUAGUCGAGGCGAGUAGCCUCAGGUGAGCGAGAGAACUCUCGUUAAGGAACUCGGCAAAAUGGCCCCGUAACUUCGGGAGAAGGGGCGCUGAUUUUAGAUCAGCCGCAGUGAAUAGGCCCAAGCAACUGUUUAUCAAAAACACAGCUCUCUGCUAAAUCGUAAGAUGAUGUAUAGGGGGUGACGCCUGCCCGGUGCUGGAAGGUUAAGAGGAGUGCUUAGCGUAAGCGAAGGUAUGAAUUGAAGCCCCAGUAAACGGCGGCCGUAACUAUAACGGUCCUAAGGUAGCGAAAUUCCUUGUCGGGUAAGUUCCGACCCGCACGAAAGGCGUAAUGAUUUGGGCACUGUCUCAACGAGAGACUCGGUGAA
rnacentral:rRNA from 1 species